AUUGAACGCUGGCGGCAGGCCUAACACAUGCAAGUCGAGCGGAUGAAGGGAGCUUGCUCCUGGAUUCAGCGGCGGACGGGUGAGUAAUGCCUAGGAAUCUGCCUGGUAGUGGGGGAUAACGUCCGGAAACGGGCGCUAAUACCGCAUACGUCCUGAGGGAGAAAGUGGGGGAUCUUCGGACCUCACGCUAUCAGAUGAGCCUAGGUCGGAUUAGCUAGUUGGUGGGGUAAAGGCCUACCAAGGCGACGAUCCGUAACUGGUCUGAGAGGAUGAUCAGUCACACUGGAACUGAGACACGGUCCAGACUCCUACGGGAGGCAGCAGUGGGGAAUAUUGGACAAUGGGCGAAAGCCUGAUCCAGCCAUGCCGCGUGUGUGAAGAAGGUCUUCGGUUUGUAAAGCACUUUAAGUUGGGAGGAAGGGCAGUAUGUUAAUACCUUGCUGUUUUGACGUUACCAACAGAAUAAGCACCGGCUAACUUCGUG
rnacentral:rRNA from 1 species